UACGAAGGGGGCUAGCGUUGUUCGGAAUUACUGGGCGUAAAGGGCGCGUAGGCGGCCCUCUAAGUCGAACGUGAAAUCCCCGGGCUCAACCCGGGAACUGCGUCCGAUACUGGAGGGCUCGAAUCCAGGAGAGGGAAGUGGAAUUCCCGGUGUAGUGGUGAAAUGCGUAGAUAUCGGGAGGAACACCAGUGGCGAAGGCGACUUCCUGGCCUGUUCUUGACGCUGAGGCGGCGAAAAGCUAGGGUAGCAAACGGG
rnacentral:rRNA from 1 species